rnacentral:rRNA from 1 species
UACGGAGGGUGCGAGCGUUGUUCGGAAUCACUGGGCGUAAAGGGCGUGUAGGCGGUCCGCUAAGUCUGAUGUGAAAGCCCGGGGCUCACCCCCGGAAGUGCAUUGGAAACUGGCGGACUCGAGUCCCGGAGAGGAGAGUGGAAUUCCUGGUGUAGCGGUGAAAUGCGUAGACAUCAGGAGGAACACCGGUGGCGAAGGCGGCUCUCUGGACGGUGACUGACGCUGAGACGCGAAAGCGUGGGGAGCAAACAGG